rnacentral:rRNA from 1 species
UGAGGAAUAUUGGUCAAUGGGCGUGAGCCUGAACCAGCCAAGUAGCGUGCAGGAAGACGGCCCUAUGGGUUGUAAACUGCUUUUAUAUGGGAAUAAAGUGAGGGACGUGUCCCUUAUUGCAUGUACCAUACGAAUAAGGACCGGCUAAUUCCGUGCCAGCAGCCGCGGUAAUACGGAAGGUCCAGGCGUUAUCCGGAUUUAUUGGGUUUAAAGGGAGCGUAGGCUGUUUGUUAAGCGUGUUGUGAAAUGUAAGAGCUCAACUUUUAGAUUGCAGCGCGAACUGGCAGACUUGAGUGCGCACAACGUAGGCGGAAUUCAUGGUGUAGCGGUGAAAUGCUUAGAUAUCAUGACGAACUCCGAUUGCGAAGGCAGCUUACGGGAGCGCAACUGACGCUAAAGCUCGAAGGUGCGGGUAUCGAACAGG